GAGUUUGAUCGUGGCUCAGGACGAACGCUGGCGGCGUGCCUAAUACAUGCAAGUCGAGCGAAUCAAUAGGAGCUUGCUCCUGUUGAUUAGCGGCGGACGGGUGAGUAACACGUGGGCAACCUGCCUGUAAGACUGGGAUAACUUCGGGAAACCGGAGCUAAUACCGGAUAAUCCUUUUUCUCUCAUGAGGAAAAGCUGAAAGUCGGUUUCGGCUGACACUUACAGAUGGGCCCGCGGCGCAUUAGCUAGUUGGUGAGGUAACGGCUCACCAAGGCGACGAUGCGUAGCCGACCUGAGAGGGUGAUCGGCCACACUGGGACUGAGACACGGCCCAGACUCCUACGGGAGGCAGCAGUAGGGAAUCUUCCGCAAUGGACGAAAGUCUGACGGAGCAACGCCGCGUGAGUGAUGAAGGCCU
rnacentral:rRNA from 1 species